rnacentral:rRNA from 1 species
GUGGGGAAUCUUGCGCAAUGGGCGAAAGCCUGACGCAGCCAUGCCGCGUGAAUGAUGAAGGUCUUAGGAUUGUAAAAUUCUUUCACCGGGGACGAUAAUGACGGUACCCGGAGAAGAAGCCCCGGCUAACUUCGUGCCAGCAGCCGCGGUAAUACGAAGGGGGCUAGCGUUGCUCGGAAUUACUGGGCGUAAAGGGCGCGUAGGCGGACAGUUUAGUCAGAGGUGAAAGCCCAGGGCGCAACCUUGGAAUUGCCUUUGAUACUGGCUGUCUUGAGUACGGGAGAGGUGAGUGGAACUCCGAGUGUAGAGGUGAAAUUCGUAGAUAUUCGGAAGAACACCAGUGGCGAAGGCGACUCACUGGCCCGUUACUGACGCUGAGGCGCGAAAGCGUGGGGAGCAAACAGGAUUAGAUACCCUGGUAGUCC